GACGAACGCUGGCGGCGUGCCUAAUACAUGCAAGUUGAGCGCUGAAGGUUGGUACUUGUACCGACUGGAUGAGCAGCGAACGGGUGAGUAACGCGUGGGGAAUCUGCCUUUGAGCGGGGGACAACAUUUGGAAACGAAUGCUAAUACCGCAUAAAAACUUUAAACACAAGUUUUAAGUUUGAAAGAUGCAAUUGCAUCACUCAAAGAUGAUCCCGCGUUGUAUUAGCUAGUUGGUGAGGUAAAGGCUCACCAAGGCGAUGAUACAUAGCCGACCUGAGAGGGUGAGCGGCCACAUUGGGACUGGGACACGGCCCAAACUCCUACGGGAGGCAGCAGUAGGGAAUCUUCGGCAAUGGACGAAAGUCUGACCGAGCAACGCCGCGUGAGUGAAGAAGGUUUUCGGAUCGUAAAACUCUGUUGGUAGAGAAGAACGUUGGUGAGAGUGGAAAGCUCAUCAAGUGACGGUAACUACCCAGAAAGGGACGGCUAACUACGUG
rnacentral:rRNA from 1 species